rnacentral:tRNA from 1 species
GGGGACAGCUCAGUGGUAGAGCACAUGCUUAGCAUGCACGAGGCCUUGGGUUCAAUCCCCAGUGCCGCCA